GGGGAUAUAGCUCAGUUGGUAGAGUGCCUGCCUUGCAUGCACAAGGCCUUGGGUUCAAUCCCAAGCACCCCCC
rnacentral:tRNA from 1 species